GUUGUCCUGUAUUUCACAUUAUCACAUUCAAUCUCUUAUUUUUGUUUCUUUCCCUCACUGUCUUCUUUCUUUCUUCAGAUGCCAGUCUUGUAGUUGUCUCAAAGUAAUUCUGGGAUGUUGUCUUCACCUUAGCAACUCCAAUGGAACCCGACAUAGACUGAAGAUCAGCAGCUCUCCUGGAAUCCCCUGAAGACUCCAGCUCCAGACUGAGAUUGCUGAGACUACCAGGCUCCUGAACUGAGUAGCUACCGGAUAUCUUCGUAGUCUUUCCAUUGUGAGACAGAAGAUGUUGGACUCCCCAGAAACAUUUUUAAGCUAGUGUAGCAAAUCUCCUCUUUCACUAACCCAUGUGUGUCCUGUGUGUUUGUGUAUGUGUGUUCAUUCUAUCAUUUCAUUUCCUUUAUAGAAGCCUGAUUAAUAC
rnacentral:lncRNA from 1 species